UUUUAAAAAAUUAUGGGCCUUAGGCCCUAGGGCCUAACAAUUUACGGGCCCUAGGCUUAACAAGUAUGAAUAUUUUUUUUUAUUCCCCUUUUAACAUAUCAUCUUAUGGUGUUUCCUCCUCUCUCUUCUAAACUCUCUCUGCGCCGUAGUCUAAAAAAACCUCUCUCUGCGCCUCCCUUUUGAAAAUGCUCUUUCUCCAAAUCGCAUGGAUCUUCCUUUUCCUCUACAAACCCAGUCACGAUCGUCCUAUUCCUCUGCAGAUCUAGUUCGCAAGGUUUCAGCCUCCUCGUGAAAUUAAAGAAAUGUUGAAGUCGUGCUGGAAGUAGGAGAAGUGCACUGACAGCUUCAGGCUUGAACUCCUCCUCAGCGACAGCUUUACCUCUGAAUUAGCUUUAGGCUCGGCCACCUCAAAAUCAGCUUUCUUUCUUACCUCCUCCUCCUUAGCCACAGGUUCAUGUCUAACCUCCUCCUCCUCAGCCCCUUCAUUUUCAACUCCCACCACUUCAUUAGUAGGUGAUGCUGCUACCCGUGUAGCAUCUACUUUAGAGGUCAUUGAAUUUACAAAUGUAUGAAAUUCAUUUUUCACCCAAUCCGCUCCCAUGACCUCCUUUAUUCUAUUGAAUGCAGUCUUGUCUUCCUCAUAGGCAGGAACCUCAACGGUUGACGCCCUCACUGCUUCCUCAUACCAAGCAGCAACCCUUGCUUCCUUUUUUAUUGGGUAGUGUUUGGCCGAAGUUGAGGCAAGAAUUCUGAAUUUGGACUUAUGCAAUCCAUGCCAGUUUUUGGAGGUCUAUGAUUGUAAAGGGGAACAAUGUGAGUUUCGUAAGUAUUUUGGUACUGAAGCUGGUUUGUUCCCUUUUGCAAUCAUAGACCUCCAAAAAUUGGCAUGGAUUGCAUAAGUCCAAAUUCAGAAUUCUUGCCUUAGCUUCAGCCAAACACUGCCCAAUAAAAAAAGGAAGCUAGAGUUGUUGCUUGGUAUGAGGAAGCAGUGAGGGCCUCAACCGUUGAGGUUCCUGCCUAUGAGGAAGACAAGGCUGCUUUCAAUAGAGUAAAGAAGGCCAUGGGAGCGGAUUGGGUGAAAAAUGAAUUUCAUACAUUUAUGAAUUCAAUGACCUCUAAAGUAGAUGCUGCAUGGGUAGCAACGCCACUUCUAAUGAAGUGGUGGGGGUUGAAAAUGAAGGGGCUGAGGAGGAGGUUAGCAAUGAAGCUGUGGUUGAGGAGGAGGAGGUAAGAAAAGAAGCUGAUUUUGAGGUGGCCGAGCCUAAAGCUGAUUCUGAGGUGGUUGAGCCUAAAGCUGUCGCUGAGGAGGAGAUCGAGCCUGAAGCUGUCACUGAGGAUGUCGAGGCCAGUAAUGAAGCUAUGGCUAUUAAUGAGCAAAGAAUGGCUGCCAUCUACAAGAAGGAAGAUGACGAGGAUAACGAAGAUGAAGAUUGAGAAAAAUUGAAGUAUAUAUUUGGUGAGAAAAUUCAAAAUUCUGUCUGUGUAUGAGUGAGAGAUAAAGAGGGUGAUUUAGUGGGUUUUUGUGGUGUGCUUUCUUUCUAUCUUCUUGAUUUUUUAAUUUGUAUGGUGAUUUGUAGGAUCUUUGAUAUGAGAAUAGAAUGCAGAAAUAUGUUUUGAUUUUGUUAGUUCAACGAAUUAAACACAUUGCUGGGUAGCAUGUACUAUUUUAUUUUGGAUUAUAUUUCAUUGGUAAAUUGAAAUAUAAUGUGUGAGGUUUGUUUUGA